rnacentral:rRNA from 1 species
GACGAACGCUGGCGGCGUGCCUAAUACAUGCAAGUAGAGCGCUGAAGUGAGGAGCUUGCACUACUUUGAAGAGUUGCGAACGGGUGAGUAACGCGUGGGGAACCUGCCUUGUAGCGGGGGACAACUAUUGGAAACGAUGGCUAAUACCGCAUAACAACUUCCAACACAUGUUAUUUGUUUGAAAGGUGCAAUUGCUCCACUACAAGAUGAACCCGCGUUGUCUUAGCUAGUAGGUGAGGUAAGGGCUCACCAAGGCGAUGAUACAUAGCCGCCCUGAGAGGGUGAUCGGCCAGACUGGGACGGAGACAUGGCCCAGACUCCUAGGGGAGGCAGCAGUAGGGAAUCUUCGGCAAUCGGGGCAAGCCUGACAGAGCAACGCCGCGUGAGGGAAGAAGGUUUUCGGAUCGUAAAGCUCUGUUGUAAGAAAAGAACGGGUGUGAGAGUGGAAAGUUCACACUGUGACGGUAGCUUCCCAGAAAGGGACGGCUAACUACGUG